rnacentral:rRNA from 1 species
CUCAAGACUAAGCCAUGCAUGUGCAAGUAUGAACGCUUGAACCGUGAGACUGCGAAUGGCUCAUUAAAUCAGUUAUAGUUUAUUUGAUGGUGUACCCGCUACGUGGAUAACCGUGGUAAUUCUAGAGCUAAUACAUGCAAAAGGUCCCGACUCUCUCGGGGAGGGACGUAUUUAUUAGAUCCAAAACCAGCCCGGUCGCGGCUCCGGUCCGGCCGGUGUUUCCUGGUGAUUCAUGGUAACUGUUCGAAUCGCACGGCCUCGGCGCCGGCGAUGGUUCAUUCAAGUUUCUGCCCUAUCAACUUUCGAUGGUAGCGUAUUGGGCUACCAUGGUCUUUACGGGUGACGGAGAAUUAGGGUUCGAUUCCGGAGAGGGAGCCUGAGAAACGGCUACCACAUCCAAGGAAGGCAGCAGGCGCGCAAAUUACCCAAUCCCGACUCGGGGAGGUAGUGACGAUAAAUAACAAUGCCGGUCCCAUCGAGGUCCGGCAAUUGGAAUGAGUACAAUCCAAACCCCUUAACGAGGAACAAUUGGAGGGCAAGUCUGGUGCCAGCAGCCGCGGUAAUUCCAGCUCCAAUAGCGUAUACUAUAUCUGCUGUCGUUAGCACGCUCGUAGUUGGAUUUCGGGGCCCGUUCGUCGGUGCGGCGUUCGUGUGGUUCGUCCUCGCGGCGUUCUGCGCGUUCCCGUGUCGGCGUCGCUCGGCCGGUUCGGUCCGCCGAGAGGCGAGCACUGUCCGGCGGCUCCCAGUGUCUCUCGGAGGUCCCGUCUGCACUUUACUGUUGCGGUCGGGGAGUUCGGGACGUUUACUUUGAACAAAUUAGAGUGUUCCAAGCAGGCCGGUCGCUUUGAAUACGUUAGCAUGGAAUAAUGGAAUAGGGCUGUUCUCGUCCUAUUUUGUUGGUUUUCGGGACGGCAGUCAUGGUCGAUAGGAACAGUUGGGGGCAUUCGUAUUCAGUUGUCAGAGGUGAAAUUCUCGGAUUUGCGGAAGACGAACUACUGCGAAAGCAUUUGCCAAGGAUGUUUUCAUUAAUCAAGAACGAAAGUUGGG